rnacentral:rRNA from 1 species
AUUGAACGCUGGCGGCAUGCCUUACACAUGCAAGUCAAACGGCAGCAUGAUCUAGCUUGCUAGAUUGAUGGCGAGUGGCGAACGGGUGAGUAAUACAUCGGAACGUGCCCUGUAGUGGGGGAUAACUAGUCGAAAGAUUAGCUAAUACCGCAUACGACCUGAGGGUGAAAGUGGGGGACCGCAAGGCCUCAUGCUAUAGGAGCGGCCGAUGUCUGAUUAGCUAGUUGGUGAGGUAAAGGCUCACCAAGGCGACGAUCAGUAGCUGGUCUGAGAGGACGGUCAGCCACACUGGGACUGAGACACGGCCCAGACUCCUACGGGAGGCAGCAGUGGGGAAUUUUGGACAAUGGGGGCAACCCUGAUCCAGCAAUGCCGCGUGUGUGAAGAAGGCCUUCGGGUUGUAAAGCACUUUUGUCCGGAAAGAAAUCGCACUUACUAAUAUUAGGUGUGGAUGACGGUACCGGAAGAAUAAGGACCGGCUAACUACGUGCCAGCCGCCGCGGUAAGAC